GCUCCCCGGAACCCUAGCCUCCCUCUACCUUGUUCCACCGUGUUUUCACCAGAGUCCAUGGUUUCUCAGGCCAUGGAUAGCCUAUACCUACCUCCUAUGGCUCCUGCAUGCCUGUUGUUCGAAGUUUCGAGGCUAGACCUCGAGGUUCUUCACUCAGACCCUCACUGAUUCGAGGAUUCCGGCCAUCUCCGGUCUUGCUCCGGUGGUUCUUGUUCUUUUUGUGCAUGAUUAUGACAUUAUACGACUUAGAUCAGAUAUUUUUGAAGCCUUUCUCAUCUCUAGGGUUCCUC
rnacentral:lncRNA from 1 species